AAGACUAUACUUUCAGGGAUCAUUUCUAUAGUAUGUUACUAGAGAAGUUUCUCUGUGUAGAGCACCCAAAACCACGAUGAGGAACCAGAGCAUCCUCUCCUGAGCGUGAAGCUGGCUCUAACUGUUGCUUCUGCAGCUGCCUUUUGCCAUUGAUGAUCGUUCUUCCCUUCCUUUGGAAAGGGUAGAGGGAGAGGAUGCAGUCUGAGUGGU